CCUAAAGGUCUUCCUAUGGGGACUGCAAGUGCAGGCCCUUAGGGAGACACAGAGAUGCCACCAAAGGACACAUAAGCGACAUAUGGGAUCUCUUGGGAAUUAUGCUAUAGGGAUUCCUAUAUUUCUCUCUCUUAGUAGCAGCAUGACCAGAUUUCAAAUAUAUGUAUGUACGUCUGCUUCGUUCUAUGUUCGUCAACCGAUGCCAAUUGCUAGCCGUAAACGGAUUAGGUUUUGGGGGCUAUUGCCCGUCGUGGCUCUGGUACAAAUCCCCUGCGACAGUCAACUGAAUGGAUAUAAGCCUAUG